UUCUCUCAUCACUGUACUUUCU
rnacentral:snRNA from 1 species